rnacentral:lncRNA from 1 species
CUUUUCAUUGUAAGCUUCACUGCAGUGCAUAUCCUCUCAUUAUAUCUUGCACCUGUUAGUUUUUACAUGACUAUAUCACCACAGGACUGAGGAUAUAUUUGCCCUAAAAUCAGAAAUGUUCUUCGUAUUUCCUCCUCAACCACCUGUUUCUCAGCUGCCGAGGUCUAAGUGGUGAGAGGAUGGCAGUCUUUUGCAUUUUACAGUAGCACAUCUACCAGUGAGCACAAAUCAAACUGCAAAGAAAGGGGAUUGGAGCUGAGAUCCAGAAAACCAAAGAGGUUUUUGUAAAGGCAACAGAAAAACUGAGAAAGACAAGUGAUAACUAUGGGCUGAGAAUUAUAGUGAAGAGUUAAAUCUGAUUUGAGUCUACAACAAGCUACAGGUAACAUGUAUAUGGCAAGGGUAAAAUACUAUUCUCUGUGGAAAUUAUGGAAACUUUUAAAGAAACAUACCCAGUAGAAAUAUUUCUCAUCAGGAAUAAUAUCAACAAUAUACUUUUAUCUUUGAUCAUGGAUCAUUUCUCUUAUGAUCAGCCCCCACUGAUCCACAGUUGAAGGUCAUGUCCUUUUAUCAAGGCCUUUACCAUUAAUUGCAGAUUAUCCUGCAAUUCUUUGCUUCUAAGUUUGCAGUUUACCAUGAAUUGCAGAUUAUUUUACAAUUCUUUGUUUUCAAGUUUGCACCAGUUUGAAAAUAGAGUCUUAGCUAACGUCUAAAGGGAUUUUCUUUCCUUCAACAUGCUUUAGAAAUUGCUGAUGAUUUGUUGUUCUUUACUCCAGAACUCUCCAUUUGGGUGGCCCUGUGGCUCUGUGUCUUUCUGUAUGCUCUUUGCUGGGAGCCCGUUUAGCUCUGGAAAUGCUAGCUGUAGCCUCUAUAAACUGCUGUUUCUCCAAUCUGCCUGCUAUCUUCUACUCAGCUGCCUCACAGCCCUAUGGUAAUGGGAAAGAUUUUCGCAGUUCCUGGCUAUUUUCAAGAAAAGAGGAGUAAUUUGCAGAUUAGUCUGUGAUAAAAAAAAUAGUCUGCCUCACUGCAGAUACUCUGUGCUAAGGUUUUAAAGGUUGUGGUUAGAGACCUAUGGGUCCUGAAACCUGCAAAGAAUAUGAAUCCCUGCUUGAAAAAUUUUUAAUGAGUGAUAACUGGGUUUUGACAUAUGACACACUUCUUAUUUUAGAUCAUGAUGAAAACAUCUUUGAAAUUACUCUUUUAUUUAUUUAAUGUAUAAGUUACUUUAACGUAUAAACUAUUUAAGUAUCCAACUACUGGCAGAUAUUUGAGCUUUUACUCUUUAGAUUUUCAUGCUCACUGUUGUGGGUAUCUAUGUUGAAGUGAACCAUUGAAACAACUGGAUAAGAAUUGUGAAUGAAAGGAGUUCCUGUCAUGGUGCAGUGGUUAAUGAACCCAACUAGUAUCCAUGAGGAUGCGGGUUCCAUUCCUGGCCUUUCUCAGUGGGUUGGGGAUCUGGUGUUGCUGUGAGCUGUGGAAUAGGUCACAGACACGGCUCAGAUCCUGUGUUGCUGUGGCUGUGGUGUAGGCUGGCAGCUGGAGCUCCAAUUCAACCCCUAGCCUGGGAACCUUCAUAUGCCUCGGGUGUGGCCCUAAAAAGACAAAAAAAAAAAAAAAAAAAA